UGGUAACACAAAAUUACAUGCUGAGUUCUUUGAAUUUUUAUGCUGUCUAGUGUCUAAUCAAAUAUGACUAAACUCCCCCCUUUUUUCCUUUGUUUUUGCUGGGACAUUUAUGGACAUCUAGCCGUUCAGAACACCGGCUAUUGCUUCGAUCAGAUAAUGCUGAUAGUCGUUUGACCCCUUUGGGACGAGAGAUUGGUUUAAUAGAUGAUAGACGUUGGGAGCUUUAUCAGUCAAAGCAAGCCCGCAUUAAGCAAGAGAAAGAACGGUUGAGAUCUACAAAAGUUCCAGGAGGUGAAUUUGCUGCUGAAGUUACUGCAGUAUCCAACCAACCUGUAAAGGAUUCAUCUACACUUGAAGCCAUAUUAAAGAAGCCACAUGUACAAUAUAAACUCCUUGACGAGCAUGGAUGCGGAAAUGAAAAUUUAUCUCGAAUUGAGAAGGAAUGUAUAGAGAUUGAUAUCAAGUAUGAAGGUUUCAUCGCACGACAACAAAGUCAAUUACAUCAGAUCGUAACAUGAUUC